rnacentral:rRNA from 1 species
UGGCGAACGGGUGAGUAAUAUAUCGGAACGUGCCCUGGAGUGGGGGAUAACGCAGCGAAAGUUGCGCUAAUACCGCAUACGAUCUAAGGAUGAAAGCAGGGGACCGCAAGGCCUUGUGCUCCUGGAGCGGCCGAUAUCUGAUUAGCUAGUUGGUGGGGUAAAGGCCUACCAAGGCAUCGAUCAGUAGCUGGUCUGAGAGGACGACCAGCCACACUGGAACUGAGACACGGUCCAGACUCCUACGGGAGGCAGCAGUGGGGAAUUUUGGACAAUGGGCGCAAGCCUGAUCCAGCAAUGCCGCGUGAGUGAAGAAGGCCUUCGGGUUGUAAAGCUCUUUUGUCAGGGAAGAAACGGCAUGCUCUAAUACAGUGUGCUAAUGACGGUACCUGAAGAAUAAGCACCGGCUAACUACGUGCCAGCAGCCGCGGUAAUACGUAGGGUGCAAGCGUUGUCCGGAAUUAUUGGGCGUAAAGAGCUCGUAGGCGGUUUGUCGCGUCUGCUGUGAAAACCCGAGGCUCAACCUCGGGCCUGCAGUGGGUAC